rnacentral:rRNA from 1 species
UACGGAGGGGGCUAGCGUUGUUCGGAAUUACUGGGCGUAAAGCGCACGUAGGCGGCUGUUCAAGUCAGGGGUGAAAUCCUGGAGCUCAACUCCAGAACUGCCUUUGAUACUGAAGAUCUUGAGUCCGGGAGAGGUGAGUGGAACUGCGAGUGUAGAGGUGAAAUUCGUAGAUAUUCGCAAGAACACCAGUGGCGAAGGCGGCUCACUGGCCCGGUACUGACGCUGAGGCACGAAAGCGUGGGGAGCAAACAGG